GCAGUCGUGGCCGAGUGGUUAAGGCGAUAUACUAGAAAUCCCUUGGGGUCUCCCCGCACAGGUUCGAAUCCUGUCGACUGCG
rnacentral:tRNA from 1 species